AAGAACCGCCAAUAACCACCAAGAACCACCAAGAACCGCCAAGAACCGCCAAGACCGCCAAGAACCAGCAAGAAACCACCAACAACCACCAAUAACCGCCAAUAACCACCAAUAACCACCAAUAACCACCAAUAACCACCAAUAACCACCAAUAACCACCAAUAACCACCAAUAACCACCAAUAACCACCAAUAACCACCAAUAACCAUCAAUAACCAUCAAUAACCACCAAUAACCACCAAUAACCACCAAUAACAUCAAUAACCAAACACCAAUAAUUACCAAUAACCAUCAAUAACCACCAAUAACCAUCAAUAUCCACCAAUAACCUCCAAUAACCACCAAUAACCAUCAAUAACCAUCAAUAUCCACCAAUAACCACCAAUAACCUCCAAUAACCACCAAUAACCAUCAAUAACCUCCAAUAACCAUCAAUAACCUCCAAUAACCUCCAAUAACCAUCAAUAACCAUCAAUAUCCACCAAUAACAACCAAUAAAGAUCAAUAACCACCAAUAACCACAGAUAUUACUUCUUCUUCUGCAGUGGUCUCAGGAUGGUGGUGUCACUCCUAACUCGUCUCCCAGGCGGAGGUCCAGACCGUCUGUAGCUGUGACGCCGCUCAAACGCAAAGGGGGGGCGGAGUCAGACGGGCCUCCUAAGAAGCUGUUUGUUGCCGGGGUAACAGAGCCUGAACGUGAGUGACAGCUUCAAGCACCUCCAUAGGCCCCGCCUCCUGCUGGGACUGGAGCAAAGGAAGACUUCUGAUUAGCUGGCUGAAUCAGAUGGACACGCCCCAAAUUUCAAAAAGACCAAUAAUGGAUUAUUGUGAUGUUCUAUUAGUGAAAAAGGAUUAUUUAUAACAUUCACUAAAUUGUUGAUGCUGAUUGGCUCACAUGCUGCAGGUGAUCAGCUCCUCCAAUCACAGCACUGACAUAUUUUUAUAAAGAGAAUUACAUUUUUUAUAUUCAAUUCAAAGUAUAUCCUCAAAAAAGUUUAAAAAUCCAACAAAGAGUGAAGAUCCAUAAUGUAAAGAGGAGCUCUGCUCUGCUCUGAGCUCCUCACACAGAUGGACAUGAAGCUUUAUGUUUAAAAAUGGACCAAAAAGAAGAAGAAGAAGCAGCAGCGAGAUGUCAUGUGUAAAUAU
rnacentral:lncRNA from 1 species